GCCUGCGCAUGGCCAAUGUUAUUGUCGAUCGCUGCAGCGCCUGCUGUGGGGGUGAGCAGGAGAGAGAGAUAGAAGGUGCGAAAAUGAAAUGCAAACAGAGCAGAAUUUGUCCAAGCAAGACGUAUCAAUACAAGGUUAACCGAAUUUCAGACGGACAGAGAGCAGCUCCCCUGGAGUCUGUGCGUGUGUCAAUCAACUCUUUCGUCAGCCAGAACGCCACAAACCAAUUGAAGCCCUCGCGCCCUCUAGUGACGUCAAUGGAGAGCGUGAUCGAAAGCUUACGGCAAAGCAAACAUCGGCUUGGAAGGACUCCCACCCUCCUCUCCGUCUCUGUUGUGGAGGCGGCGCGUGCAAGGUAUUUUCAACUGGAAUUAGUUGUUAUCAAAUUAAUUAGACAACGGAAAGGGGAAUUUGUUCGAGGUAUUUUCUGGCACAGACAGCGACAGGUUUAAAGCCCCAGUCCCCCAUCUAAUGGCACCGCAAUGGAUAAUGAAUGGGACUGCAAUCGAUUUCUGCAGACUUAACGGAAGAAUGUCUAUAAAUUGGUCUCUUCUUUGAAUUACAAAAAUAUCAAAGAAUUUCAUUGACACAUUUUGAGGUUUAAUGGAAUAUUUAAAAGGAUUUCUUCUUGAAGGUGUACAUUAUUCCCACAUAAUUUCUUGUUUUUCUAGUCAGUAAAUAUUCGAAAACAAA